rnacentral:rRNA from 1 species
GAGUUUGAUCGUGGCUCAGAACGAACGCUGGCGGCAUGCCUAACACAUGCAAGUCGAACGGGAUCCAGGCUUCGGCCUGGUGAGAGUGGCGGACGGGUGAGUAACGCGUGGGAACCUGCCCAAUGGUCUGGGAUAACCGCGGGAAACUGCGGCUAAUACCGGAUAAGCCCGAGAGGGGAAAGAUUUAUCGCCGAUGGAGGGGCCCGCGUCCGAUUAGGUAGUUGGUGAGGUAACGGCUCACCAAGCCGACGAUCGGUAGCUGGUCUGAGAGGAUGAUCAGCCACACUGGGACUGAGAUACGGCCCAGACUCCUACGGGAGGCAGCAGUGGGGAAUAUUGGACAAUGGGGGCAACCCUGAUCCAGCAAUGCCGCGUGAGUGAUGAAGGCCUUAGGGUUGUAAAGCUCUUUUGGCGGGACGAUGAUGACGGUACCCGCAGAAUAAGCCCCGGCUAACUUCGUGCCAGCAGCCGCCGUAAC